rnacentral:ncRNA from 3 species
UUAGUUGGUGGAGCGAUUUGU